rnacentral:lncRNA from 1 species
ACACCAGACCAGAUAGCUCACCAGCUAACUCAGAAUGAGAAAACCAACUGCAGUUAUCAAGAAAGAUGAAAAUCAACAGGGUGCCAGAACUUGAAACCCACCAGUGUCUCUCUCUAAACCUGAAAGACUCAGAGAAGCCAUCAAGCGAUGUAAGACUGGUAAAGCACCUGGCCUAGAUGAGCUGAUGAUGGAGCAAAUCAAACACUUGGGGCCCAAAGCCAGUUUUCAGCUUUGGCCCCCAAGUGUUUGAUUUGCUCCAUCAUCAGCUCAUCUAGGCCAGGUGCUUUACCAGUCUUACAUCGCUUGAUGGCUUCUCUGAGUUCUUUCAGGUUUAGAGGAGAAGACAACUGGUGGGUUUCAAGUUCUGGCACCCUGUUGAUUUUCAUCUUUAUUCUGCUGCAGUUGGUUUUCCCAUUCUGAAUUAGCUGGUGAGCUAUCUGGUCUGGUGUCACGUUCGCGUGCCCAGGGUUGACCAGAGGGUCGCUAUCCAGGCGUCUCAGCAAUUGCCAGGCUUUUCGGCUACUCUUGGACAUGUCCAGGUUCUCAAGCAGCUCUAUCCAACGGUCUUUCUUAGCAUUAGCUAAAGCUGUAAAUAGUUUUUGGCCUGCUGCUAUAGUCCCAUCACUGUAUGGGUUCUCUUGAAAUAAUCUGAGAUAUUCUUGUAGCUGAUUUAGUGAUUCUUCGUUUAGGCCUGGUAGGUAGCUUGUGCGACAGCCUCUAGGGAUUGAGAGCCUUGAGGAUCUUUUCACAGCUUCUACGAACAGGUCAUAAUUUUCUAUAGAAGGUUCUAUAUCAGAAAUAGCAGCUUCCAAGGUCUCUGUAAACUUUGUCCAGUUAGCUUUAUUGAAGUUAUAUCUUCUGCGGAAUGGGACACUUUUCGGUUUUACAGCUGCAUAUGCUACGCAGCAUAUUGGUCUGUGUUGUGUGUUAGGUAUUGGGUUUAAUACCCUUUUGGUGCAUUGGUGGCUUAUGCUUUCCUUUACAAAAAUCAGAUCAGGAUUAUAACCACGCUUCCAUCGGCCGCUAUUAAAUGAUGGUGGUAAUUUACUGUCAUGAAGGAGGCUCAUUCUACUAUUGUCGGCCCACGUUAGAACUGCUUCACCAUUUCUAUCAUCUUCGUCAUAGCCCCAGACACAGCUGUGGCUAUUGAAAUCUCCCACAACAAAAUGGGCUUCAUGAUUGUGGCAACUGGUUGGGGGUGUAAAAUAGAAAUCAGCCCCAGGUGGUUUAUAGAGUGAUGAUACGGUGCAACUAUCAAGUUCCACAGAUAAGAUUUCAAUGUUGUUCACUUCUGUGAGGGAAGUUGCAGAGAUUGCUACACCAGAUCGUACAAAAAUGGCACUGCCAUAUUGUCUGUGAGGUCGUUCCACUGCCAGCUGCAUUCCAAGUA